GGGCGGCGGGCUUCUGAACUGCUAAUUCCCGUCAGUAAGCUGCCUUACAAGCAAGGGGUCGCAGGUUCGAACCCUGCUGCGCCCA
rnacentral:tRNA from 1 species